CCCUCAUCCAAAACCUUCUAGUCUAAAAUCUUUCAAAAAAAUCAACUCGCAUAUGCACUCUUAGAAAAGAUAUAUCAAAUAAUUGAAAUGUUUUUCUUCCUAAUUCUCUCUUUUCAUAUUAUUCUUAUGUUUUUACUCUAUAUUUCUCCACAUUUUUACACUUUCUCUUAUUUCUUAGCCCAAAGCUACUCAAAAGUAGAAAUCAAAGUUAGAUUAUUGAAACUUCAAAUCCACUCUACAAAUUCGGUUAACUUAGCCUAUAUGCUCUACACCAUUCAAUUGUUUUCGUAAAUUCUUAGACAGUUCAUAUUUAUAAUUAAUGUUUAUCAAAAUAAAGGUGCAUUAUAAACCGUUAACCAAAGUCGUACACAUAAUUUGUUGGAGAAAUUGCUCUAGAUGCAAUUUUAAUAUUUUACAAACUAGUGAAGAGAUAUUAUAAAUUAUAAUUAAGAGUUAUGUUAACUUUGGACGUACAUUUAAGCUCAUUGCAAACAUGAACUGAAUUCCUAGAAAGUAGACUUUAAUUCAACCAACCAACAACAUGAAAUGUGAUUUACCAUUACGGUGAUACCAAACUCUCCCGAUGGAUAUGUAGAGCAGUAUGUGAUUGGAACCCGAUUGUACCAAUUAUCAAGCGAUAAUCCAACCCACCACUAUUUAAGUUAUAUAGAACAAAUUGGGAAGACCAUUUGUUUGCCACAAGAAGAGCACCAGUGUUGUCUAAUAUGAACAAGGGUUCAACAAAACCAAAAGAAGGUUGAUUCUCACUAGUGAUGAUCUUCAGUUUAGUCCAUGAUUCAGCAACACCGUACUCUUUCAUCAACCACACUUCCCAUUCAUGUUUUGAAGGAGAGACUUCACCGGAAGCCUCAGGAGGAUCUCGUUGAUGAGUUCUUCCGGCAAAACAGGCGAUGGAAUGGAAACGGUGUCGCUUUGACUGGUCAUUUUGAGUAUGUUUAGGGUUUCUAAUGUUCCUUCAAUGUACUUAUAGUAGAAUCUUAUGCCAAAGGUUAUUUUGGCUCUUUCAUCACCUAGAGCAGCAUUAUCGUUUGCUUUUCAUAAGUUGCUACACAUAUAUCAAAGGCCAUUAUGUUAGAAUAAAUGAGCAAUUGAAUAAAGAGAGCGUUUCAAUAUUUGCAAACGUUC
rnacentral:lncRNA from 1 species